UUUAUACUGUAUCUGCCCUACAUUUGGCUAUACACCAGCUCCUGGUGUACCUUGCCUUUCACUCAAAGUCUGUUGGGAUAUGUUCAGCACACCUGCUACCCUAGUGAGGAUAAGUGGUACAGAGAAUGGAUGGAUGGAUGGAUAACCAUUUUAUUUUGUGGGGUGUGAAAAAAAGCAUACUAAUAUUGUAUCUCCAUAUAGCACAGUUAAAUCCUAGACACUGGGAAUUACACUAAGUGGGGUCAAGGACAAAGCCUUGGGUGCACCUGAAGAGCAAAGAAUCUGGUUUAUAGAAGAUUAAAUGUACAAAGACAGCUAAACCUAAAUGCACUACUAUACAAAAAUACUAUACAGUACAACAAAAAUGAGCAGACUUGAAGGUUGAUAAAUGUUAAUAAAUGUUAAAGAGGACUAUUACAAACAGUGCUCAAGAUGAGCUCUUGUGAGCUAUUGUUUUGUUUGCAGCAUGUGCUCUUUCUUGUUUUUUGUUUUCAACAAUCUGAGUUGUUUCAGCUGCACUUGGCGGGGCUCCAAAGGAAGCAAGCAAGCGCUCCAUCUUCUCCGACAUCCUCGAAGUGGCUUUUGAAGUGACAACAAGAGACGGGAAAAGUUGUACAACACUGUACAUGCGCUACAGUGUGUGCUGUAGAAGAAGACAUGGCGCGCGACAAGAUGUUCUUCUGUAGGUGGCUCUGUCUCAAGAUGCCCCUGAGCCACAGAGAAGAACUGUACCACAUCUUGAGGAUGACUGGUCCUCUGUUGUUCUCUCGGGUCCUCAAUUACCUGCUUCCCUUCGUGGUCACCAUGUUCUCUGGACGUCUGGGCAACAAGGUGAUGGCUGGCUACGGAUUAGCAUCUGCUACCAUCAAUGUCACCACAGCGGCAACAGGAUAUGGUCUUAGUCUUGCUUGUGAUACACUGGUCUCUCAGACCUUCGGUGGUAAGAAUCUGCUGCGCGUGGGCGUGAUCCUGCAGCGAGGCAUCGUCAUCCUUCUGUUUUUCUGUCUGCCCUGUUGGGGUCUACUCCUCAACGCCCAGAGCCUCCUGCUGCUCAUGGGCCAGCACCCCGAGGUGACCCGAAUAGCACAUCUGUACAUCGUAGCCUCCCUUCCAGCUGUGCCAGCAAUGUUUCUACACAAUCUUCAAGUGUCUUACUUGCAGAACCAGGGUAUAAUACUUCCGCAAAUGUACACUGCAGCAAUGGCAAAUGUUGCCAACGUGAUUUUGAACUAUGUGUUAUUGUACUGGCUCGAUCUAGGGGUCACUGGAUCUGCAGCUGCCAACGCUCUCUCUCAGAUUUUCAUCUGUGCUCUGCUGUUUGCUUACAUUCGCUGGAAGAAGCUGCACGUAUCAACAUGGGGAGGCUGGUCAGUGGAAUCUCUGCAGGAGUGGGGCUCCUACAUGAGGCUGGCUGUUCCCAGCAUGCUCAUGAAGUGUUUCGAGUGGUGGCUCUAUGAGUUUGGUGGAUUCUUUGCGGGCAUGUUGAGCGAAGAAGAGCUGGCGGCCCAACAUGCAGUGAUGAUGGUGACUUUACUAGCCUACAUGUUCCCUUUUGCCAUCCAGGCAGCGGCGUGCGCUCGGGUGGGCAACGCUCUCGGGGCCGGAGACACGGGCAGGGCCAUCCUCACCUGCAAGGUUUCGCUCACCCUCGCAGCUGCAUUUGCACUUGUCGAAGGUGUCGUGCUUGGCUCCACUAAAUCAGUGAUCGGCUUCAUCUUCACCUCCGAUGAGAAGAUCGUCAAUCUGGUGUCCCUUUUGAUGAACGCUUACUGCUUCCUUCAGUUCUUUGAUGGCCUCGUGUGUGUGUGCACUGGCAUCUUUCUGGGCACGGGAAAACAGAAGAUUCCGGCUGUAGCUAACUUCAUUGGAUAUUACGGUGUCGGACUCACGCUCAGCGUUACGCUCAUGUUUGUGGCAAAGCUCCGAAUUUUAGGUUUCUGGCUGGGGAUUUUGAUUUGCGUUAUCUUGCAGUCCACCCUUUACAUCAUUGUCGUCUUCAAGCUGGACUGGGAGAGAAUGACAGAGGAGAAGAUACACCAAGUACUCUCCUGCCUGCUUCUCUGAUCACCUUGGCUGCAGUGGUCCAGUCUUCUGGAAGCUCUUCCCGUCCACCGAGAGCCUGUAUCACCUCUUCCCGAAAAGCUGCACAACACUCGUCCUGUCUCAGCUUCCACCACAUGGUUCUCUUCUCUGCCUUUGUCUUCCUAAUUUUCCUCCCCACCACCAGAGUCAUCUUACACACCACCAUCCUAUGCUGUCUAGCCACACUCUCCCCUACCACUACCUUACAGUUGGUAACCUCCUUCGGAUUACAUCGUCUGCACAAGAUGUAAUCCACCUGUGUGCUUCUACCUCCGCUCUUGUAGGUCACCCUAUGUUCGUGCCUCUUCUGGAAAAAAGUGUUCACUACAGCCAUUUGCAUCCUUGUUGCAAAGUCUACCACCAUCUGUCCCUCCAAGUUCCUUUCCUGGAUGCCGUACUUACCCAUCACUUCUUCAUCACCCCUAUUUCCUUCACCAACAUGUCCAUUACAAUCUGCACCAAUCACGACUCUCUCGCUGUCUGGGAUGCUCAGAACUACUUUGUCUAGCUCCUUCCAAAAUUGCUCUUUCACCUGUAGGUCACAUCCUACCUGUGGGGCAUAGCCACUAAUCACAUUACACAUAACACCCUCAAUUUCAAAUUUCAGCCUCAUCACUCGAUCUGAUACUCUUUUCACCUCCAAGACAUUCUUAGUCAACUCUUCUUUUAAAAUAACCCCGACUCCAUUUCUCUUCCCAUCUACACCACGGUAAAAUAAUUUAAACCCUGCCCCUAAACUUCUAGCCUUACUGCCUUUCCACCUGGUCUCCUGGACACACAAUAUAUCAAUCUUUCUCCUAAUCAUCAUGUCAACCAACUCCUGAGAUUUUCCUGUCAUAGUCCCAACAUUCAAAGUCCCCACAGUUCUAGGCUCUGUGUUUUCCUCUUCUCUUUCUGCCGAAGAACCCGCUUUCCACCUCUUCUUCUUCUUCGACUUCGACCCACAGUAGCUGAAUUUCCAACAGCGCUCUGCAGGUUGACGGCGCCGGUGGCGGACGUUGUUAACCCGGGCCACGACCGAUCCGGCUGUGAAGCGCGCCCAAAAGAACACACAUGUGGCCUUAAUGAGCCCGGCUGUGCAGGAACAGUACCAGCCAGUCAUGUGCGAGGGCAACAGAGUCACACUGCAGCUGGCGAAUGCCGGCCAUCUCUCUCUGAGCCAGCU